rnacentral:rRNA from 1 species
AAAAAGCGGAGGAAAAGAAACCAACCGGGAUUGCCUCAGUAACGGCGAGUGAAGCGGCAAAAGCUCAAAUUUGAAAUCCUUCGGGAGUUGUAAUUUGUAGAGGGGUGUCUUUGGGGCGGCAUUGUCUAUGUUCCUUGGAACAGGACGUCACAGAGGGUGAGAAUCCCGUGCGAUGAUGCCUCAACCAGUACAAGACCCUCUCGACGAGUCGAGUUGUUUGGGAAUGCAGCUCUAAGUGGGUGGUAAAUUCCAUCUAAAGCUAAAUACUGGCGAGAGACCGAUAGCGAACAAGUACAGUGAUGGAAAGAUGAAAAGCACUUUGAAAAGAGAGUGAAACAGUACGUGAAAUUGUUGAAAGGGAAGGGUAGGAGGUGAGGGGAAGAGCUGCUUAGGCGCGGGAGAUAAACAAGCAGGAAGCGCUUCGGUGCGGCCUGGUAAAUAUCCCGUG